AAGUCGUAACAAGGUUUCCGUAGGUAAACCUGCGGAAGGAUCAUUUAACACGUCCUGACCGAUGCGCCGGAUCGUCGCGGGUUCAGGCGUCGGAAACCCCGAAAACUGUUAGCAAUGGAUAUCUUGGCUCUC
rnacentral:misc_RNA from 1 species